UUAAGCGACUAAGCGUACACGGUGGAUGCCCUGGCAGUCAGAGGCGAUGAAGGACGUGCUAAUCUGCGAAAAGCGUCGGUAAGGUGAUAUGAACCGUUAUAACCGGCGAUGUCCGAAUGGGGAAACCCAGUGCAAUUCGUUGCACUAUCGUUAACUGAAUACAUAGGUUAACGAGGCGAACCGGGGGAACUGAAACAUCUAAGUACCCCGAGGAAAAGAAAUCAACCGAGAUUCCCCCAGUAGCGGCGAGCGAACGGGGAGCAGCCCAGAGUCUGAAUCAGCUUGUGUGUUAGUGGAACGGUCUGGAAAGUCCGACGGUACAGGGUGAUAGUCCCGUACACCAAAAUGCACAGGCUGUGAACUCGAAGAGUAGGGCGGGACACGUGGUAUCCUGUCUGAAUAUGGGGGGACCAUCCUCCAAGGCUAAAUACUCCUGACUGACCGAUAGUGAACCAGUACCGUGAGGGAAAGGCGAAAAGAACCCCGGCGAGGGGAGUGAAAAAGAACCUGAAACCGUGUACGUACAAGCAGUGGGAGCACCUUCGGGUGUGACUGCGUACCUUUUGUAUAAUGGGUCAGCGACUUAUAUUCUGUAGCAAGGUUAACCGUAUAGGGGAGCCGCAGGGAAACCGAGUCUUAACUGGGCGUUAAGUUGCAGGGUAUAGACCCGAAACCCGGUGAUCUAGCCAUGGGCAGGUUGAAGGUUGGGUAACACUAACUGGAGGACCGAACCGACUAAUGUUGAAAAAUUAGCGGAUGACUUGUGGCUGGGGGUGAAAGGCCAAUCAAACCGGGAGAUAGCUGGUUCUCCCCGAAAGCUAUUUAGGUAGCGCCUCGUGAACUCAUCUUCGGGGGUAGAGCACUGUUUCGGCUAGGGGGUCAUCCCGACUUACCAACCCGAUGCAAACUACGAAUACCGAAGAAUGUUAUCACGGGAGACACACGGCGGGUGCUAACGUCCGUCGUGAAGAGGGAAACAACCCAGACCGCCAGCUAAGGUCCCAAAGUCAUGGUUAAGUGGGAAACGAUGUGGGAAGGCACAGACAGCCAGGAUGUUGGCUUAGAAGCAGCCAUCAUUUAAAGAAAGCGUAAUAGCUCACUGGUCGAGUCGGCCUGCGCGGAAGAUGUAACGGGGCUAAACCAUGCACCGAAGCUGCGGCAGCGACACUAUGUGUUGUUGGGUAGGGGAGCGUUCUGUAAGCCUGCGAAGGUGUGCUGUGAGGCAUGCUGGAGGUAUCAGAAGUGCGAAUGCUGACAUAAGUAACGAUAAAGCGGGUGAAAAGCCCGCUCGCCGGAAGACCAAGGGUUCCUGUCCAACGUUAAUCGGGGCAGGGUGAGUCGACCCCUAAGGCGAGGCCGAAAGGCGUAGUCGAUGGGAAACAGGUUAAUAUUCCUGUACUUGGUGUUACUGCGAAGGGGGGACGGAGAAGGCUAUGUUAGCCGGGCGACGGUUGUCCCGGUUUAAGCAUGUAGGCUGAUUGUCCAGGCAAAUCCGGAUAAUCAAGGCUGAGGUGUGAUGACGAGGCACUACGGUGCUGAAGUAACAAAUGCCCUGCUUCCAGGAAAAGCCUCUAAGCAUCAGGUAACAUCAAAUCGUACCCCAAACCGACACAGGUGGUCAGGUAGAGAAUACCAAGGCGCUUGAGAGAACUCGGGUGAAGGAACUAGGCAAAAUGGUGCCGUAACUUCGGGAGAAGGCACGCUGGUGUGUAGGUGAAGUCCCUGCGGAUGGAGCUGAGACCAGUCGAAGAUACCAGCUGGCUGCAACUGUUUAUUAAAAACACAGCACUGUGCAAACACGAAAGUGGACGUAUACGGUGUGACGCCUGCCCGGUGCCGGAAGGUUAAUUGAUGGGGUUAUCCGUAAGGAGAAGCUCUUGAUCGAAGCCCCGGUAAACGGCGGCCGUAACUAUAACGGUCCUAAGGUAGCGAAAUUCCUUGUCGGGUAAGUUCCGACCUGCACGAAUGGCGUAAUGAUGGCCAGGCUGUCUCCACCCGAGACUCAGUGAAAUUGAACUCGCUGUGAAGAUGCAGUGUACCCGCGGCAAGACGGAAAGACCCCGUGAACCUUUACUAUAGCUUGACACUGAACAUUGAGCCUUGAUGUGUAGGAUAGGUGGGAGGCUUUGAAGCGUGGACGCCAGUCUGCGUGGAGCCAACCUUGAAAUACCACCCUUUAAUGUUUGAUGUUCUAACGUUGGCCCCUGACCGGGGUUGCGGACAGUGUCUGGUGGGUAGUUUGACUGGGGCGGUCUCCUCCCAAAGCGUAACGGAGGAGCACGAAGGUUAGCUAAUCCUGGUCGGACAUCAGGAGGUUAGUGCAAUGGCAUAAGCUAGCUUGACUGCGAGCGUGACGGCGCGAGCAGGUGCGAAAGC
rnacentral:rRNA from 1 species